GGAUGUCGAUGAUUACUAGUGUUGGAGGGUUUCCGCCCUUCAGUGCUGCAGCUAACGCAUUAAGUAAUCCGCCUGGGGAGUACGACCGCAAGGUUGAAACUCAAAAGAAUUGACGGGGGCCCGCACAAGCGGUGGAGCAUGUGGUUUAAUUCGAAGCUACGCGAAGAACCUUACCAGGUCUUGACAUCUUCUGCCAACCUAAGAGAUUAGGCGUUCCCUUCGGGGACAGAAUGACAGGUGGUGCAUGGUUGUCGUCAGCUCGUGUCGUGAGAUGUUGGGUUAAGUCCCGCAACGAGCGCAACCCUUAUUACUAGUUGCCAGCAUUCAGUUGGGCACUCUAGUGAGACUGCCGGUGACAAACCGGAGGAAGGUGGGGACGACGUCAAAUCAUCAUGCCCCUUAUGACCUGGGCUACACACGUGCUACAAUGGAUGGUACAACGAGUCGCGAAACCGCGAGGUUUAGCUAAUCUCUUAAAACCAUUCUCAGUUCGGACUGUAGGCUGCAACUCGCCUACACGAAGUCGGAAUCGCUAGUAAUCGCGGAUCAGCAUGCCGCGGUGAAUACGUUCCCGGGCCUUGUACACACCGCCCGUCACACCAUGAGAGUUUGUAACACCCAAAGCCGGUGGGGUAACCUUUUAGGAGCUAGCCGUCUAAGGUGGGACAGAUGAUUAGGGUGAAGUCGUACAAGGGGUAACCCAAAAAGUCUUGAGG
rnacentral:rRNA from 1 species